ACAUGCUUCAAAUCACAGUAUCGGGGGUCUGCCAAUCAAUGAAGAAACACAUGGCUACUUAAUAUGCAGCCGCUGCUGUUACUGCUAAUGCUACGUCGAGAAGCUGCUGUGAAACAGUGAUGUGUUUUCACUGUUGAAUGGAGAUGGAGAAGGAAAAACGAAUUGCAGAACAAUUAAAUGGCGGCUGUUACGGCAGAUAUUUGGCUGUGCUUCUUAAGAAGACAGAUGCUUCUGCUCAUGCCAACUCCGAUCUCACGUGUGCUAAGCUAUGGAAAUGCUACGGAAGAAGAAGCCGCAAAGUUUCUCCAGAGUUUAUGUAACUACAUUAACCUCCUAUCUUCUUAUGGGAUUGACUAUUUUCUUCGCCUACUGGCCGCCCCACUCGACAACCUGCCUGGUUUGGAAUCACUCCUUGCUCUGCCAUCUGCCAGCCCCGCUCUGCCAGUCACAAGUCGGUCUCCAGCCCUGUUCUUCUGCAAAACCUCAUCCAAGACCAGCUACAAUAAUGGGUCUUGUGCUUCAUCUAUGAAACCCAGUUUCCUUUUUUAAAUUCCCCCUAUCCGGACUUCAGAUGAACAGCUUGGACUGACCCAGUAAAACAGCUUUGACCACCUCCGUCCUCACUUAACCACCUAUAAUUCUCUCACACUCCCGAUCUAAUGCUAUUUCAAAUUCGGUCGGUGUCCUAGUUGCUACAUUUGGCACAUGCUCAGCACCUAUUACUCCCGGAGUCUACCUCUCACUUGCGCUCAAAUAGAAAAUGUAUAUUCUUCAUGAAAUAAGCAGCCCCUUGAGCGCAGUGACGGGGCGCCACGCAUAAACCCCCUCAUAUCGCCAAACUGUUCGAGUUAACAAAAUCUGACAGAUAUGCGAACACAGCCGUACACGAGCAUCCAAAGUCUUUGACGGAAACACACACACACACACAGAGCUGUGUUUGAAACCAAUGGAUGCUGGAUAUUUUGGUAGGUGAGCUAGAGCAGGGGGACACAGCAGAGGAGUUAAUUACCCCAUUCAAUCAAUAAUUCAUUAUGCUGUCAGUCCGUGUGUCUGUGCCUUUCUGUAUGUGCACUGGCAUGUUUUGAGUGCAUGUAAGCAUGAGCACCAAAGUCUCCCUGUAAGCAUUUCCUUUCCCUGGGAACGGCAGAUUAAGAGGAUUGACUCCGUAAUGGAUUAACCUCUGGAGUGCGUGCAUGUGUGUGUGUGUGUGUGUGUGUGUGUGUGUGUGGAGCAGGAUCAGAGAACCCAUGUAUUAGCCUAAGAAGCUCCUCUCCUCCUGUUUUAAUGACCACAUCAGCACUUUUUCACCACAGGGAGGAUAAAUGUGGAGCUGUCCAUCAAGGAAAUGAGACAACGCCCCUUUAAGAAGGGUUAUCUGUCACUCAAACAUCACUCAUGGGAGUGCUGUCCAUGGACUAGGGACACCCUGCUGUGUCAGUGUGUCUCCAAUGAUAGAUGAUGUGUGUGUGUGUGUGUGUGUGUGUGUUUACACUUGCUUUUGCCUCUUCAGGUCCUUUUAUUGUAUAAAUGACUUUUUUCAGGACCAGUGGGGACCUAGCCUUUGAAGAGGAAAAUCAUUUGUAAAGAUCUGAUUAAAGUCAAGAGUUAGAUGUGAAUUGUUUUAAGGGUAAAGAUUAGGGAUAGGCAUUUACUUGUUAUGUUUAAGAACAAGUAAAUAGAAGUUUGCCCUGUGCUGUGUGUGUGUGUGUGUAUAAAGUCUGGGCAAGCAAUUGUCUGAAUGCAGUAUUUAUCUUGUCUUUUCGGCUUUUAACUGUACUUUCUAAUAAGAAAACAACAAAGCCAAGUGCAUUCAUUAUCUAUGCAACUUGUAUUGUUUACAGCACAACCAUAUAUGCUGACUAGAAGUAACAUAAAAGCAUGACAGAGGAAACGGAGACAAAAUGACCAAUUACGCUGCUGGAGGCAGCUAUUCGCCCACUCCCUCUGUGUCCUGACGCCAACUGAACUCCUCAGGGGUUUGUACACAUGGCCACACAGGCAGCCAUGCAUGUACACAUAAAUGCACAUUCACAUAUUGUUUGCCUACAAUAGGGGGUUGAUUCAUGUUCACCGCAUUAGACUUAGAGACACACACACAGACACAGCACAAGUGUGUAAGUUGCUAUGAACACACUUUGACUGCUAUUUUGUGGAGAUGAAUGGUGUUAGGUGUUAGAUGUUGGUGACCAGGUCAGCAGGUAUGUCAAAUCUUGUGUGUGUGUGUGUGUGAGAUAGAUGUACUGGGAAAGAGUAUAUGAACCCUUUGGAAUUCCCUUUUUUUUUUCCUUCAUGAAUUUAUCAUAAACACAGUGUGCUUGAGCUAAUAACAAACAAUUCAAUUAUUUCAUGCUUUUUUAAACACACAUUUAACAUUCACCACGGCAGGGGCAAAAGUAAGGGAACCCUUGGACUUGGUAACUGGUUGAACUUCCAUUAACUGCAAUAACCUCGACCAAGUGUUUCUGGAUUGGACCUGCACAGUGUUCACGGGAAAUUUUCAAUCACUCUUUGUCAGAACUGCUUCAGCCCAGCCGCGUUAUUUGGAUGUCUGAUUUGUGCAGCUCAUAUAAAGUCAUUCCACAGCA